rnacentral:lncRNA from 1 species
GUGAAUGCGGCCUCUUCUCCUUCUUGAUACUAUGUGCACGUGAAGAAGAAGGAGAUUGCUGCGAAUGAUAGGUGGCACGAUGACCGUGUCGGAAAAGUAGUGGCUCAACUUGGUGAGAAUGUCGAGAGGGUCAUCGUUCUGGGGAUGAAGAAAGAGAUCUUCACGGAGUACGGUGAUUGUGUCUGGAUGGCACUAUAUGCACCGCCGGCUCCUCUGCUGCCAGUUGCUACUGUUGCGUGUCUGUUGCUAUUGGAGACUAUGCACUGUCUCUGUUAGCAUUUUUAUUUGCUGCAUUAAAGCAGCGAUUUAGGCGUCCAUAGUGAUAAUAGGAUGCGAAGAACUGAGUUCUGCCAUUGGAGGUAGAGGAGGGAGGUCUUUCCGGUGGGAAGAUUGCUUGGGAGAGUCGGUGGAGUUAUUUUGAGCUCUUAUUUUUGUCAUAAUUUUUAGUUUCACUAGCCCUCGCCUCCUAUCUGAUGCACCAAUCUGUUACGGCCAAUCUCUUAUUGUGUCUAACUCCAGCGAAGAGCAACAUGCAAAAGAAGUCCACAGAUCGGAAUUAUAUCCGAUGGAGAUCCUCUGAUGUUUAAGUCAGUAAAGAGUGGUUAAUAGUAGAUAGAAUAUUCAAAGUGACAGAGUGUUAGUCCAGAAGUGUCUUAUCAAAAUUGUUCAUUUACCUCCUUUUUAUAAAUAAUCAGCUGG